rnacentral:lncRNA from 1 species
CUACCCGCAACCUAGACUCUAACCCGGAUAACCCAAAAUAACAAUCAAUCUAGCCCUAGCAUGCAAUAAAAGCUAAGGCUAAGCAAACCGUUACUAAGUUAGACUUGGCCUCCUGCCAUGAUCUAGCUUCAAGUAACGGGAACCUGCAUAAAAACAAGUCAACAAACAAUCCCUAGUUAACCAUAUAUACGCCUGAGUUCAAUACUCAUGUAGUGUUAGACACUUAGACUAUGCAAGUAUCAUUAAUCGAUCGACCAACAAUCAAACAAGAACAUGAUCGGCCAACCAAUGAUACCGCAUAGCUUUAAUAUCCACCACCCUUCACAAGCAAUCACUCAAACACAUACAGGCCAACGUCAGGCCUACACUAACGAAAUACACAUCAAGCCUAAUCUGGUACCUAAACCAGACUUAGGACUUAAUGUCAGAACCUGCAAGCAAAUCAAUCAACCACAAUCACAAUAAUAACUAUAACUACGACUCGAUCUAACACGUAACACCGUAUAUCGGUGUUACGCUAACUCGAUGGUGGUUCCAUAACCCUCUACGACACUCUAACACAACACAACACACUACCCCGGGAAAUGGUGACUUAGUGUUCAUC